UACGUAGGGGGCAAGCGUUGUCCGGAAUGACUGGGCGUAAAGGGAGCGUAGGUGGUUUGGUAAGUCAAAUGUGAAAGCCCGUAGCUUAACUACGGAAAUGCAUUUGAUACUGCUAAGCUUGAGUGCAGGAGAGGUAAGUAGAAUUCCUAGUGUAGCGGUGGAAUGCGUAGAUAUUAGGAGGAAUACCGGAGGCGAAGGCGGCUUACUGGAAUGUAACUGACACUGAGGCUCGAAAGCGUGGGGAGCAAAC
rnacentral:rRNA from 1 species